rnacentral:rRNA from 1 species
GGAUCAAUAUGUUGGUCGUGCCUUAGUACGUACUAAUUUAUUGGUUUCUUCCUUCUGACGAACCAUGAUGUCAUUAAUUUGGUGUCUUGGGGAAUCAGGACUGUUACUUUGAAAAAAUUAGAGUGUUUAAAGCAGGCUCACGCUUGAAUACAUUAGCAUGGAAUAAUGAAAUAGGACGUUUGAUUCUAUUUUGUUGGUUUCUAGGAUCGACGUA